rnacentral:rRNA from 1 species
UACGGGGGGAGCAAGCGUUGUUCGGAUUUACUGGGCGUAAAGGGCGGGUAGGCGGCCACCGCAAGUCAGUUGUGAAAUCUCCGGGCUUUACCCGGAAAGGUCAACUGAUACUGCGGGGCUAGAGUGCAGAAGGGGCAACUGGAAUUCUCGGUGUAGCGGUGAAAUGCGUAGAUAUCGAGAGGAACACCUGCGGCGAAGGCGGGUUGCUGGGCUGACACUGACGCUGAACUGCGAAAGCUAGGGGAGCGAACGGG